UUAUUUUGUUUCCGUUUUUGAAAUGCUUUACUCAAACUGAUAAACUAUGUUGGAUGAGCUUUUCUUUCCAUGACCCCAUUGAUGUGAUAACUCUUUAAACUUAUGUUGAAUCAAUUGCAGUGAGUUAUAUUCAUGUUUGAGAAUUACCUUUUGAAUUGAAUCUUUGAGUUUGCCAUAGUGAAAAAUAUAUUGAUGACCCUCAAUUGAGAGAAUAAAUUGAAAUUGUGUGAAUGAACUUAACAUGACUUGAUUUAGCAAUUGGUGUUGAUUUGCCCAAAUCAUUGAGAGAAAGAAAUUCAGCAAAGGCAAAGCCCUCAAAAGCACAAAUUUAAAAAACUGUUCCAAUGGUCAAAAGACCAAGAACAAGGCAACUAGCCACUUGGAUAGGUGACCAACUGAAAAAUCUAAAAGUGUUACAUCAAAACUAGGUUGGUGACCUUUCCAAGCAAGAUCUGAAGUGCAAAAGCCUGAAUAAAGUAUUUCAAGGUAAGGGCAAGUCACUCUGAAAGCUAGAAAAAGUCUUAUCUGAAUAAAUAAUGUGCAUGUAUGGUGUCUCUUGAGGAAAACAAAUCCUAGCUAUGGUAAGUUAAGGGAAAUAAGGAGAAAGGUAAGUAAUCUUCAUGCAUAUAUUCUUAACUGCAAUGAUUCAAAAUAGGUGUCU
rnacentral:lncRNA from 1 species